rnacentral:rRNA from 1 species
GACGAACGCUGGCGGCGUGCUUAACACAUGCAAGUCGAACGGUAAGGCCCUUCGGGGUACACGAGUGGCGAACGGGUGAGUAACACGUGGGUGAUCUGCCCUGCACUUCGGGAUAAGCCUGGGAAACUGGGUCUAAUACCGGAUAGGACCACUGCCUGCAUGGGUGGUGGUGGAAAGCUUCUGCGGUGUGGGAUGGGCCCGCGGCCUAUCAGGUUGUUGGUGGGGUGAUGGCCUACCAAGGCGACGAUGGGUAGCCGGCCUGAGAGGGUGACCGGCCAGACUGUGACUGAGAUACGGCCCAGACUCCUACGGGAGGCAGCAGGGGGGAAUAUUGCACAAUGGGCGCAAGCCUGAUGCAGCGACGCCGCGUGAGGGAUGACGGCCUUCGGGUUGUAAACCUCUUUCAGCACCGACGAAGCGCAAGUGACGGUAGGUGCAGAAGAAGGACCGGCCAACUACGUGCCAGCCGCCGCCGUAA